CCGCGAUAGAUUCUGUCACCGUCCUCCUGCGGCUCGAUGCUCCGACAUUGUCCCCGCUCCUUUACAAUACUUUGGUGAUGCCGGCCCCACCGCACCGUGGGAUCCCAGCCUCCAGUGUCCCGAUCAUGGACGGCAGGCCACGAGCCUGCCGCACCCCCCCCCCCGAGUACGGUGGCCCACCCUUGGCGUCCGCGGGCAGGGCAGGGCAGGGGGCGGGGCAAUGUCGCCGAAGAGGCUCGCGGCACGGUCACGCCUGUGCUGACGCACCGCGAGCUGUGCCGGCGAUUCAACGGGUACACGUCCCCCAACUCCUGUUUUCUGUUUUGGCAGCGAGGCGCUGAUGCAGGAAGCAGCCCGUUUCCCCGCCAGUGCCGGACACAGCGCGACUGCCAGUGGGCGCAGCCAAGCACACCGUGGUUGGUCGGCCCGCCCCCGUCACGAAGCGUCGGCACAGGGGUCUGCAUUGCGCAAGACGUGCAGUUCACUCCCACAGGCCCCACAGGGCACCUGGCGUACCAGCGUCUCAGCAUCCCGGUGCAGCAAGAGAGAGGAGGCACCGGGCUGGCGUCCCCGCGCUCGCACACCACGACACGGGGCACAGGUGUACGCCCUCGCCCGCUUCCCAACGACAAGAGCGAGGCAGCGGCGUUGCGGCUGUGCUGCCACGUCCAUGCUAGGCGCAUACACACCACGUCCGGCCGCACACCAAAGAGUCAGCCACGCAGACGCACACCUGCGAGGUGUUCCGCAAGGCUAUGACAGAAUGCACGACUGCGGCCAGCAACACCCACGAAGGCGGGCCUCUCUGGCGACGCUGCCCUGCGCGUCGCCCUGUGGAAGGUGGUGCGCUGGACAGUGAAGCACGCCAUACAGGUGGAUUGAGCAUCCCUCAAAACAAGGCGCGCACCCGCCCAGCGAAGCACACCCCGCCGCACGCAACGACCUUGCAUGCGGUCACCUCGACACGCACGUCUCGCACGCGCUGCACGGGCUGGCCCCGUCGGGGGCCUGUCGCUGCCCCCACCACACCCUCUGUGCCCCCACAGAACGGCAGGCUGUGAGCUCCCCGUGUGCGCACGCGCACGCGUGUCGGCGGGACCCCUCCGCCCCACGCGCACAGCAGCGGCCGACCCGUCGCGGCAACAUGCGGGCAAGCCGUCCAGGCACGCACCCCCCGGCAACAGUGCCGUUCUCGAACACGCCCCCUCCCCUCCCCCCCCACUCCACAAAAGCGCGAGCGCCGCCAUGCACAGCUGGCAUGCCGCAUCGCAUGCAGAGGGGCGUGGCGCGAAGAGAGCCCACAGUGCAUGUGCGCAAAACAUGCCGUAUCGGCUCCAGCCGACCAAAUGGGGGCUCGUGAGGCGCAGAUGCCGGAAGCAUCACCAGAGCAGCCUGCACUACAUCAUCCAGUCAUCCGGAGUCCACUGUGGAGGGUGGUGGCCGUCGUCGUCGUAGGGGGGAGGGGGGUCGCCACGCCGUAUGUGACGGGAUGCAGCGGCCUUCAGGAGACUGACGGGGAGAAGCACGGCAUGCAGGCAGACGUUGCAGGGUCUCACAGGGCCCUGGGCUGAGGCUGGGCAGCAUCCUACCUCGGCUCGUGCGGCAUGCGCCUAGGCCACCACCGGCAUGCUACCCCUGCCCCCCACCCUUUGGCAGACGCCACCGCCCUCGAGUAACGCCCGUGAGGGCGGUCCCGCCUACUUUGGUGCGCGCCAUGCGGCCCGGUGGGUGUGGCGCCGAUGGCGCAGGCAUGCCUGCGAGGGGGGAGGGACAGGCUGAGCCCGUUAUAGACGCGUGGCCGGAUGCAGCGGCCGGACGGCUCGUCCUAGAGGACGCGGAUGUGGCCGCCGUGCCGCAGGGGGUGGGUGAGGGGCGGCUGUGUGUGUACGUAUAUAUCGGGGUACGAGUUCGUGGUGCUCGUGAGCGGUGAUUGAAAGUGGAAUCGGAGAUUGUAGUCACGCUUGCGAGGUGUUUGCAUAAUCGAGUGUGCCGGCUGCCAAUCUCAUUUUGUCUUUGUGUGUGUGUUUUGGUGCGAUGAAUGCCGCCUUUGCUUUAGUGUAUGUGCUUUUUCGCAGCUCUGCGGAAGUAGGGAGAGACUCACAUUCGACGUUGCGUUUUCGUUGGAAAAACAUGACGGUGCCGUGCUCUUCUGCACACACCUCGAAUAUCGUGUGUGGUAUCGCGAAGCAUUUCCGACGGGCUGCAUUGCGCGCUUUCUGGCUCUUUUCCCUCUCGGGGAGUGGCUCAUUGCUCCGCUGCCCCUCUCCCCUUCCUGUAGUGCUUGUUUCCGCUUGUCCUUCACACCGAAUUUUGUGUUUUGAUCGUGCUGUUGCUUGGUUCACUGGUGUUCUGGUUUGGCAAGCUCUUAGUCGAACGUUUUGGCGAGUGGCGGGUUUGUGGGAGGGUGGAACUUGUGUGCUCACAGUUGCUGCGGCGGUCAUGUUGCUCGUGACAAAUUGAGGCGUUUGUUUCAGUGUGUCCGCUCGUGUGUUGCUUGCAUGUGGGCUUGCCGUGAAGCAGCCGCUGCAAAUGCUGUUGCGGAUAGCGGAAGUAAGGCAAGAGCGCCCGCCGCUGCGAGUCGUGGAAACAUUACUCUUUCUUCUGUGCUGGGCUUUCUUGUUUCACUUACAAGAGGAUGCCGAGCUUCCCUCUUUCUCCGCUACUCUCAACUCUCGCCGCGCCCGGAGUGAACUCGUCGUGUUUCGUAUGGCGGUUCAUCUGCAGGGGUGAGGAGAAAGGGUCGGAUGGCCAAACAACAAAAAGAAAGGUAUCUUUGGUAUCGUAACGAUCA
rnacentral:misc_RNA from 1 species